rnacentral:lncRNA from 1 species
UUUUUUUUUUUUUUAACUACAGGAAAGUUAUUUGCAAAGAAAUUUGAGACGUAAUUGGGGGUAGCAGUAAUACAAAUUCAUUUUGAAACCAAAAAACUGUUAUGUAAUGUCUGUGAUCAAAGGUCAAUGUCUUUCGACAUUCUCAAUGAGUCCGAUCUGGAUAAAAAUCAACUCAAAUACAAUUUAGGAAAAUAACAGGAUAUCAAACAAUGUGUUAAUGCUGUGAAACACUGGCACACCUCACAAAACCCAGAAAUGCAUAUUAAAGGAGCUUCAAUUGCAUUGUUUCUGUCAUAUUUUGAAUCGAAUCCCAAGUGUGCUCUCAUUCCCUCAAUACAAAUUAAAAAUAAACAACUCCUCACAGCAUCAGUGCCAUCUGGAUUACAAUGGAAAAAUGAAGUAUGUGUGAUUUUAGCUCGGGUAAAAAUAAAGCCGAGGCAAGAUGACUGGCACCUUUUCCAUUCCAUGCCGCAAUCACAUUCACGUCGUGGAGCUGACUCCGGACCAAGGCAAGGUCAACUAGAAAUAUCCACUCUACGGGUGAGUCAGGCAGUUGCUCAACACGGGAAAGCGCUCUAACAAAGGGUUUUUAAUUUUCAGGUGGUUGCAUCACACUGAUGUUAUAAUUGCACUUCGCAAAGAUAAGCCUUUAACACAGAAAAGGAAAUUGUUUCAAAGACUACAGUGAGCUAGCACUCACUCUCUGGGGAAGGAGACGGAUGGGGGUGGGGUGGGUGUUACUAGCACAGUGUUCACCCCCCACUUCUCCUUUUCAGGCUGGUGGUCUGGGCUGCUAAUCUAUCUCUCCAUACCUGCACUCCCUCACCUAUAAAAUAAGGACGGUGAUAGAACACAGUGCCAGGCACAAGCAGGGUAAGGAAGGGGCUAAGAAGCACUAGCUCUUAAUUUCAUUUCUGAAGAAUGAGCAGCAUCAAGGCAAGGAGGAGGAUGAGUUCCAGGGCUUUUGAGCCUCUCACGUUUCUUAGAGAAGUACGGCCCUGUGCCGAAGGUGGAAGGGUCACCCAGCUGAAGCCUCGUGUAAUCAAAAGAACUGACCAUCAGCAGAUUCACGGACCAGGCAGCCCGUACAGGCUCCUCUCUCCGUGGCUCAUCUGUGGGGUCUAAGGAGCCUUGGCAGGUCUCGGGCCAUGGAUGUAUCAAUGUGGAUGGAUCAGGCCAAGGAAAACUGGCACAGAGAGGUCAAAGGAACUGGAAAAAGCCAGGCUGUGUGGCACUUGUUACAUCAUUCUAGCCACCACCGUCUCACCUCUCUGUGUUCCUUCUAACACUUCCCCAAAACAUUAACUCAGUGAUUUGGGAGGUUCUGCAAUACCAUCAAGAAUUCACUUCAAACUUAAAUCACCACUGAACGCCAUGGCACACAGUUUUGGGGGUGGGAGGAAGGAAUCAUUAUCAGAACAAAAAUGUAUCCUGAGAAGGAUCUUUCAUUAUAGGCUUAACUCAAACUUCAGUCCUUACUAUUACUGGACAGACAUGUAGGCAGAGAAAAAUGAAGGUGAAUACAUUAAAAAAAAAAAAUCUGGCUCCUGGUGAAUGACAUGCAA